rnacentral:rRNA from 1 species
UACGUAGGGGGCUAGCGUUAUCCGGAAUUAUUGGGCGUAAAGGGUGCGUAGGCGGUUUGGUAAGUCUUGUGUGAAAUCUCCAGGCUCAACUUGGAGUCUGCACGAGAAACUGCCGGGCUUGAGUGUGGGAGAGGUGAGUGGAAUUCCUGGUGUAGCGGUGAAAUGCGUAGAUAUCAGGGGGAACACCUGUGGCGAAAGCGGCUCACUGGACCACAACUGACGCUGAUGCACGAAAGCUAGGGGAGCAAACAGG